UUCCUUUCUGAGGUAAAAUUGUAUUCUAUUUGUGAACACUCGUGGAUAUUCUAUUUAUGUCAGAUUAUCUUUGUCUCAUUAUUCUUCAUGAUUCCAUGUAGUCUAGCUUGGAUUUUAUGGUUUUUGUUUUGUAUCAGGUAUCAAAUCCUCUCUGAGUUCAUCAACUGCAUGGAAAGCUAUCCAUUUGAUCAAAUAAAUUCAAUCAAGCCAACUGUUCUAAUGCCAUCAUUUUCUUCUUUUGAGCAGCAACUUGUUGUGUUAUCACAUAUGUCACCUUACGUUAAAAUAAGGUUCUCACAUGAAUAUAUAUGCAUUUAACAAUUACUUAAUCAAAUUCAGCGAUCUAAUGGUAAAGGAGACACUGCUCUUCUAUGUUUUGUUCAUGAAACAAUCAGUGCGCAAUUCUGCCAACACUGUUAGCUCAUUUUUAAAUCUCGAAGCUUCUGAAAGACUUCUAAUUUUUAUAGAAUGAUGUCCUACGUGAGUAAGUUUUUAUGGAGGAACUCUGUAAAAUAAUGCACCAAAACAAAAAAUUCUCUUUACUACAUGUAGACUAAUUCCAGUGUUUCAGUGUCAUUGGAAGAUUAGUAUUUCAGUGUCAACUUUCGAGCAUAAUCUCUCUAAAGAUAAUUUAUUUGAUUAAUCCAGGCAUUAUGAAUCACUCUUGUGAUGGUACUUUGGCCCCUUGGUCCUGGCCGUGACAUUGACUACGACGGGGAUGAUUAUAUUGUGCCUGCGAGGUUGCCUCUCCUAUGAAACCAGACCUUUUGAACCUAACUUACUUCGCUGGAGAUAUUCGUGUACUGUGUGAAUCUUAUAUGAAGUUAGAUGCUUCCCGGCAAGUUUUUCUUCCUUCUUCACAGAGCACCAAUAUGUUCUAAGCUCUGAUUGUUGAGGGUCACAUCGAAUCUUCAGCUGCAGCUGAGCCGAGGGUGCAGUACCACAUAUUCUGAUCGUUUACCAAGUGUGGUGUACUAUACUCUUCAGUUCUUCAGAAAUUUUUGAACUCGAGUGAGAUUCUCCGACGAAAAAAGUUAAGGAGACAAUGCUCAGUAUCUACUUCGAUCUCAAUUAUAAAGACAACAUAAUUGUGUGUUGUCAAGUCCAAACCUCUUGAGAUUGAUUUUAUUGUCAUGCAAUACUUAAGGAUCAAGGUUUUUGGUUGAUACAUUAAAAUUCCGCUCUUUUGCUUAUGGUGACAUCCCAUUGUAAAUGGAUCAUUAGGUUUGUUAUGUGCACUACCAUGACCUCCAUCGAUAAUGCUACCAUCUCAUACAAAUUUACUAUUGUCAGUCGAGUUAUGCACAUAGAUCGGCAACAAAGGUGGAGUGUUGGAGCUGAAGGUUGAUGUGAGUGGCACACACAAGAGAAAUGAAUGGAAAUGGAGGCAAAUCUGUUAGGAAUAUAUACAUUAUUUUUAAUUCAGGUUAGCGCUAGAGUGACUGGAGCUAGGUAAUGUUGAGCCGCAUCACCUGCUAUAUAUAU